AAUUUGUUUUUGCAGCUUCCUUCCCACAAAGGCAUCCAACAACCUUCUGCAACCAAUUAUUUUGUGCAUGGAAAUGCCAGGGCACUAGGCAGGUGGCAAUCCAUCACCAAGACGGAGCCCGCAGAUGAAGAGCAGGGGGAUGAUCGUUGGUGCUUAAAAGGUUUCUGCCUUCUGAAGCCAAAGCCCGUGUGUCAAAGGUUUGAUGGGAUUUGCUCAUUAAUUCCAAGCUCCAGUGCUCAGUUGCCGUGUUUUCAUUACUCCUUGGGGAUUCUGUUUUUCUCCCACUGGCAGCUGUGGACUUUGUGUGAUGGUGGGAGAUGUCAGGUUUUCAGAUCUCCCACCCAUGUCACCUCCACUCCCCCUCUGCUUCAUCCCAAGACUACUGCCCAAGCCCAGCUUCCCCAUGCAUCUCCUUCUGCCACGCUGUGGGUUUACUACAGUGCCUGGGGCUCAGCCUGCCUCCUCUCAUCUCCACUCCUUAACCCAGCUGCACUGCUUUCCUUCCUGAGCUGGCUGCUGAGUGGGGAGCAGCUUGGCUCACCCACUUUUGCUGUCCCCACUCUUUCCUGCCAAGUACCACAGAAUCCCUUUCUGUGUUAAGGGUGACAGUACUCCUGGCUGAGCAAACACAGAAGAAAGAGUAAAUGAGAGGUGUAGUAGUCAGAUACCCUUUGAAAAAACAUACCAAGAUUCUUAAAACAGGCCUGCCACUGCCACGAGGCUGGUGUCUGCUACGUUCAUCACAUUUCGUCUCCUCCCCCACCCAACCUUGUCCCCAAGGAUGGUAGAGUGAGAUAACCAGUCUCCUCACGAUGGAAAAAACACUGCUUUUUUGCUUCCAGAAUCACUCUCGCCUGUCACUCAACGAAAUAAGCCAGUUAAAAAUAAUUACCAGCAAUGACCAAACAGGGAAAGAGCUUAUCCUCAUGCUAUAAACUGAAAAGUAUCCAACAAAAAGAAAAGCAGAUUUUGGUGUGACUUAGUGCAGCCCCUAUACCACCCUUUCCUCCAGAGAGUGAUACAUAGGGAAACCUUGAGAAUUUCCACCAUCCCCUGAUUUAGAUAGCAAUAGCACAGAAGGCAUAAAACAGAUAAAAGACAGCCCCCACUCAAAAACAAAAAAAAAGUCUACAGAGGAAAUUAAUAAGAACAUGGAUUCAGUAAGACAAGGCUUAAAACAAAACAAAAUCUACCUACUUCAGUAGUGGAAUUCAACAAACCAUAAAAUGAAUGGAGAGGUCAGGAGAGAAGAACUAACAUGACGCUAAUUACCAGGUGAUCAUGGAAUAAAUUCUGUAAGCUCCUGAGGGAAAGNNNNNNNNNNNNNNNNNNNNNNNNNNNNNNNNNNNNNNNNNNNNNNNNNNNNNNNNNCACCUAGGUGCCUUCUUGAGGGAAAAAAAAAACAACAACAACUCUUGGAACCAUAAUAAAAAGACACAAAUGGAGAAAGCAUAGUAAAAGGAAAUGAAUCAGCUUUUAUAUGAUGACACCAAGGUUUGGGCCUGUUCAACUGCAAGAGUGCAUUCCCAUCAAUUGACAUGGGGAAGGCUGUGGGAAGCAGAGGUGUUUGGGACUGGAAUUGGAUCUCAGUGAAAUCUGAGAUGCCUCAAGUGGAGGUAUUGAGUGGGUAGUUUCGUAUAUAAGAGAUUAGAGGUUAGAAGAGAGACCUAGGUUGGAGCUAUAGAUCUAGGAAUCAUAGAGGUAUAGGUGCUAUUUAUGGCUUGAGAUUGGAUGAGAUCACUCAGGGAAUUAGUGUAGAGAAGGUCAAGGAAUGAGCUGUGGUUAAUCUCAGUGUUAAGAAUCAAGAGAAAGGAGAAAUGAACAAAGAAGACUAGGCGUGAGGGUCAGUGAGGAAGGAGGUAAACCAGGAGGUGGUGGUGUCAGGAAAGCCAAGGGAAGGGUGGGUAUUCAGGAAAAGUAGGUGAUUAACUGUGUCAAGUGUAGCUGAGAGAUCAGAGUAAGAUGAGACUUGAAAAUUGUCCCCCGCCUUUGGCAAUGCAGGAAUCACAGGUGACCUUAACAAGAGCUGUUUCAGUGGAAUUGUAUAGUUGAAAGCUUGAUUGGAGAGAAUUUAAGAGACAGUUUUUGAGAAAUGCUGUUGUAUUUGAGGCAAAGCAAAGAGGAGGUAACUGGUUGGGAUGGUGGGGUCAAGGUAAUGCUUUUUUUAAUUAACAGAUUUUUUUUUUUUUUAAGACAGUUUAGGUUUACUGAAAAUUGAGCAAGUAGUACAGAGUUCUCUCUCCCCCCUUCUCAGGGUUUCCUCUCUUAUUAACAUCUUGCAUUAGUGUGGUAUAUUUGCUACAACUGAGCCAAUAUUGGUACAGUAUUAUUAACUAAAGUCUCUAGUUUAUAUUAGGGUUAGUUCUUUGUGUCAAACAAUUCCAUGGGUUCUGACAUGCAUCGUGUCUUGCGUCAUUUUAGUAUCCUACAGAAUAGUUUCACAGCUGUAAAAAAAAAAAAAAUCCCCUAUGCUCCAAGGAUAAUGCUUUUUAAGAUGGGACUGCAUGUGGUCAAUAAAAGAGAAGAGGGACAACUCUAAUUCUGUUAAGCAGUUGGCCAGCUGGCUCUUGCCUCAGCAGUGAGCUCUGGGCUGAAGAAGUAACUCAAACAGUCAUCAGCUUAUUUAAGGAUUGCCUGGAGAUCAAUGAGCCCUCUGAGCGGGAUAUGCAGACUGAGAAGAGUGGAAGGCCUAGUGGAGAACUCUGGGGACACCAACAUAUAAUGCAUAGCCGGAGGUACUGGAGCCCGCAAAGAAGUUGAAGGAAGAAGGAGCAUAAGGAGGAAAACCAGGAGGCUAUGUUGUCACCAAAGUCACAGGAAGAGAAUGUUCAAAGAAGGAAGACCACAGGAUUGAAUAGUGCCAGGAAUUCAGUAAACACUUCCCUGGUGGCUCAGACGGUAAAGCGUCUGUCUAUAAUGCGGGAGAC
ensembl:lncRNA